CUAAUAACAGGUUAUACAGGAGAAUCAAUUGUACCUUAGUAGUCAAAGCCUGAAUUUUAGUCCUCACAGUAUCCAAACCAUCCUUCAUUUCUUUUAAAACAGCAACCAAUUGUAGAGAUUCUCUGAACGAAAUAUAUAAUUCAUGUUAAAAAGAAGGUACAAAAAAAUCGAGCAAAUACUUAAAGUAAAUUUACAUAAAAAUUACUUUUUUAUUCUAUCGCUCUGGGGCAGACAAGUAUUUGCCUCCGUAUCCAUAGCUUGUUUAACUUUCUGAGCAAAUUAAUAAACCCUAAACCAGGGUUUUGCUUGUAAAAUAUAACAAUGCCGAUUAAGCCUCAGAAUUGUUAACGUUUUUCAUAACAAAGAAAAAUUGCUUAUAAUUAAGCGGCGAGAAUUGCGAACUGCAGCUGCGCGGGAAUGAAGAUGCCUACGAAUUGAACAAUUUAGGGUUCUUAUUUUGAGACUUAGCCCCCACCCCUUUAUUUCACGUUACAUUUAAUUAAAUUUUUC
rnacentral:lncRNA from 1 species